GACGAAUGCUGGCGGCGUGCCUAAUACAUGCAAGUCGAGCGCAGGAAAUCGACGGAACCCUUCGGGGGGAAGUCGACGGAAUGAGCGGCGGACGGGUGAGUAGCACGUAAAGAACCUGCCCUCAGGUCUGGGAUAACCACGAGAAAUCGGGGCUAAUACCGGAUGGGUCAUCGGACCGCAUGGUCCGAGGAUGAAAGGCGCUUCGGCGUCGCCUGGGGAUGGCUUUGCGGUGCAUUAGCUAGUUGGUGGGUAAUGGCCCACCAAGGCGACGAUGGAUAGCCGACCUGGGAGGGUGAUCGGCCACACUGGGACUGAGACACGGCCCAGACUCCUACGGGAGGCAGCAGUAGGGAAUCUUCCACAAUGGACGAAAGUCUGAUGGAGCAACGCCGCGUGAACGAUGAAGGCCUUCGGGUCGUAAAGUUCUGUUGUAAGGGAAGAACAAGUGCCGCAGGCAAUGGCGGCACCUUGACGGUACCUUGCGAGAAAGCCACGGCUAACUACGUGCCAGCAGCCGCCGUAA
rnacentral:rRNA from 1 species